AUGACCCGUCCUAAAUCACAAGGCGGCCUCGGUUUUAGGGAUUUCCGGAUUUUCAAUCAGGCACUACUGGCGAGACAGGCCUGGCGCCUCUUAGCCUUUCCAGAUAGCCUCUGUGCAAGGCCGCUCAAAGCCAAGUAUUACCCAAGUGGACGGUUGGAGGACACGGUGUUCUCAAGGAAUCCUUCUCAGUCUUGGCAAGGUGUCUCCUACGGGGUCGAGCUCUUAAAGAAAGGACUGAUCUAG
rnacentral:rRNA from 1 species